rnacentral:rRNA from 1 species
AACGAACGCUGGCGGCAGGCCUAACACAUGCAAGUCGAGCGAAGCCUUCGGGCUUAGCGGCGGAGGGGUGAGUAACGCGUGGGAACGCGCCUUUGUGUACGGAAUAGCCUCGGGACACUGGGUGUAAUACCGUAUGUGGUCGAGAGGCGAAAGAUUUAUCGCCAAAGGAUCGGCCCGCGUUGGAUGAGGUAGUUGGUGGGGUAAUGGCCUACCAAGCCGACGAUCCAUAGCUGGUUUGAGAGGAUGAUCAGCCACACUGGGACUGAGACACGGCCCAGACUCCUACGGGAGGCAGCAGUGGGGAAUCUUAGACAAUGGGGGAAACCCUGAUCUAGCCAUGCCGCGUGAUCGAUGAAGGCCUUAGGGUUGUAAAGAUCUUUCAGUGGGGAAGAUAAUGACUGUACCCACAGAAGAAGCCCCGGCUAACUCCGUGCCAGCCGCCGCGGUAAUAC